UACGUAGGGUGCAAGCGUUGUCCGGAAUUAUUGGGCGUAGAGCGCACGUAGGCGGCAUUGCAAGUCGGAUGUGAAAUCCCUCGGCUUAACCAAGGAAGUGCAUCCGAAACUGCUGUGCUUGAGUACUUAAGAGGAUCGCGGGAAUUCCCGGUGUAGAGGUGAAAUUCGUAGAUAUCGGGAGGAACACCAGUGGCGAAGGCGGCGAUCUGGGAAGAUACUGACGCUGAGGUGCGAAAGCGUGGGGAGCAAACAGG
rnacentral:rRNA from 1 species